rnacentral:antisense_RNA from 1 species
AUACUUCGGUAAGCUUCGGCUUACGACGGGACCACCUUGUGUUGUUUCAUCAUGGUCUAAACUGAUAGCUGAACUAACUGAAUGUGCGAAAUACACAUGAAUCACAAUC